AAGUCGUAACAAGGUUUCCGUAGGUGAACCUGCGGAAGGAUCAUUAACACGUAUCCAAACGUUAAAACAACCCUGUGAAUAUUAACGCGUGUUCUUGCUUGACACCAAAACAGCAAUCUCUCGUAAAACAGGCGCUAAAGAAUUACAGAUAUUGAUUUGAGAGAAUUCUGUCAGUCGGUGGACGUUGUGAUCUAUCACCAAUGUCUGAAAGUGUCAAGUGAUGGUCAGGGUAACGCAGUCAACGAUCGCUGUAGGUCCUCACGACCGGCGACCGGGGUGGAGGCUAACCGCCCUUACGUCACCCCUAUGUACCCUCCGGGACUUGGCGAAAGCUGACUCCGUCAUAAAUCGAACAACUGUUAACAAUGGAUAUCUUGGUUCUC
rnacentral:misc_RNA from 1 species